AGCUCCAGUAGCGAGUACUAAAAUUGUUGCAGUUAAAAAGCUCGUAGUUGGAUUUCUGCGCGCGUUGGACGGCCCGCUACCUUUCAGGUUUGUGGGAUCAGUCUACGACGCACGCAUCUUGCCGUGAACAGUGCUUGUCUUCAUUGGCAGGUGUCUGGGAACGGCUCUUUUACUUUGAGAAAAACAGAGUGUUCAAAGCAGGCUUGCGCCUUGAAUGAGACAGCAUGGAAUAAUAACAUAGGACUUUGGUUCUAUUUUGUUGGUUGUUCGAGAGCCGAAGUAAUGAUAGAUGGGGACGGUUGGGGGCAUAAGUAUUUCGGAGCGAGAGGUGAAAUUCUUGGACCUCCGGAGGACUAACUACUGCGAAAGCAUUUGCCAAGGACGUACCCUUCAAUCAAGA
rnacentral:rRNA from 1 species